rnacentral:rRNA from 1 species
CAGGCUUAACACAUGCAAGUCGAGGGGCAGCAUGGUCUUAGCUUGCUAAGGCCGAUGGCGACCGGCGCACGGGUGAGUAACGCGUAUCCAACCUGCCCUACACUCUUGGACAGCCUUCUGAAAGGGAGAUUAAUACAAGAUGUUAUCAUGAGUAAGCAUUUUCGCAUGAUUAAAGGUUUACCGGUGUAAGAUGGGGAUGCGUUCCAUUAGAUAGUAGGCGGGGUAACGGCCCACCUAGUCUUCGAUGGAUAGGGGUUCUGAGAGGAAGGUCCCCCACAUUGGAACUGAGACACGGUCCAAACUCCUACGGGAGGCAGCAGUGAGGAAUAUUGGUCAAUGGACGAGAGUCUGAACCAGCCAAGUAGCGUGAAGGAUGAAGGUUCUAUGGAUUGUAAACUUCUUUUAUACGGGAAUAAACGAAUCCACGCGUGGAUUUUUGCAUGUACCGUAUGAAUAAGGAUCGGCUAACUCCGUGCCAGCAGCCGCGGUAAUACGGAGGAUCCGAGCGUUAUCCGGAUUUAUUGGGUUUAAAGGGAGCGUAGAUGGGUUGUUAAGUCAGUUGUGAAAGUUUGCGGCUCAACCGUAAAAUUGCAAUUGAUACUGGCAGUCUUGAGUACAGUUGAGGUAGGCGGAAUUCGUGGUGUAGCGGUGAAAUGCUUAGAUAUCACGAAGAACUCCGAUUGCGAAGGCAGCUUACUAACCUGUAACUGACAUUGAUGCUCGAAAGUGUGGGUAUCAAACAGGAUUAGAUACCCUGGUAGUCCACACGGUAAACGAUGAAUACUCGCUGUAGGCGAUAUACAGUCUGCGGCCAAGCGAAAGCAUUAAGUAUUCCACCUGGGGAGUACGCCGGCAACGGUGAAACUCAAAGGAAUUGACGGGGGCCCGCACAAGCGGAGGAACAUGUGGUUUAAUUCGAUGAUACGCGAGGAACCUUACCCGGGCUUAAAUUGCAACCGAAUAUGGCGGAAACGCUAUAGCUAGCAAUAGCGGUUGUGAAGGUGCUGCAUGGUUGUCGUCAGCUCGUGCCGUGAGGUGUCGGCUUAAGUGCCAUAACGAGCGCAACCCUUGCCGAUAGUUACUAACAGGUUAUGCUGAGGACUCUGUCGGGACUGCCAUCGUAAGAUGUGAGGAAGGUGGGGAUGACGUCAAAUCAGCACGGCCCUUACGUCCGGGGCUACACACGUGUUACAAUGGGGGGUACAGAGGGCUGCUACCACGCAAGUGGAUGCCAAUCCCAAAAACCUCUCUCAGUUCGGAUUGAAGUCUGCAACCCGACUUCAUGAAGCUGGAUUCGCUAGUAAUCGCGCAUCAGCCACGGCGCGGUGAAUACGUUCCCGGGCCUUGUACACACCGCCCGUCAAGCCAUGGGAGCCGGGGGUACCUGAAGUGCGUAACCGCAAGGAGCGCCCUAGGGUAAAACUGGUGACUGGGGCUAAGUCGUA